rfam:Gossypium arboreum cultivar AKA8401 contig_291_19, whole genome shotgun sequence.
AAUCCAUGGUGAGGGCAUCUUCUCAUAGAUCUUUGUAUCUCUCCAAUGCAUCAUAAAGUGUUUCUAAAUCCAUCUGCAUAAAAGAAGAGAUAUCAUUUCGUAAUU